CGCGGGGUGGAGCAGCCAGGUAGCUCGCAAGGCUCAUAACCUUGAGGUCGGACGUUCAAAUCGUCUCCCCGCAA
rnacentral:tRNA from 1 species